rnacentral:rRNA from 1 species
GAUGAACGCUGGCGGCGUGCCUAAUACAUGCAAGUCGAGCGGACCAAAGAGAGCUUGCUCUCUGAGGUUAGCGGCGGACGGGUGAGUAACACGUGGGUAACCUGCCUGUAAGACGGGGAUAACUUCGGGAAACCGAAGCUAAUACCGGAUGAUAAAGAGAAACGCCUGUUUCUUUUUUGAAAGUCGGCCUUGUUCUGACGCUUACAGCUGGGCCCGCGGCGCAUUAGCUAGUUGGUGAGGUAACGGCUCACCAAGGCGACGAUGCGUAGCCGACCUGAGAGGGUGAUCGGCCACACUGGGACUGAGACACGGCCCAGACUCCUACGGGAGGCAGCAGUAGGGAACCUUCGGCAAUGGACGAAAGUCUGACCGAGCAACGCCGCGUGAGCGAUGAAGGCCUUCGGGUCGUAAAGCUCUGUUGUCAGAGAAGAACAAGUACCGGAGUAACUGCCGGUACCUUGACGGUACCUGACCAGAAAGCCACGGCUAACUACGUGCCAGCAGCCGCCGUAAUAC